CGGCGAGUGANGCGGUAAAAGCUCAAAUUUGAAAUCUGGUACUUUCAGUGCCCGAGUUGUAAUUUGUAGAAUUUGUCUUUGAUUAGGUCCUUGUCUAUGUUCCUUGGAACAGGACGUCAUAGAGGGUGAGAAUCCCGUUUGGCGAGGAUACCUUUUCUCUGUAAGACUUUUUCGAAGAGUCGAGUUGUUUGGGAAUGCAGCUCAAAGUGGGUGGUAAAUUCCAUCUAAAGCUAAAUAUUGGCGAGAGACCGAUAGCGAACAAGUACAGUGAUGGAAAGAUGAAAAGAACUUUGAAAAGAGAGUGAAAAAGUACGUGAAAUUGUUGAAAGGGAAGGGCAUUUGAUCAGACAUGGUGUUUUUUGCAUGCACUCGCCUCUCGUGGGCUUGGGCCUCUCAAAAAUUUCACUGGGCCAACAUCAAUUCUGGCAGUAGGAUAAAUCAUUAAGAAUGUAGCUACCUCGGUAGUGUUAUAGCUUAUUGGAAUACUGCUAGCUGGGAUUGAGGACUGCGCUUCGGCAAGGAUGUUGGCAUAAUGGUUAAAUGCCGCCCGU
rnacentral:rRNA from 1 species